UAAAAAGGUAAAAAGAAAAAAAGAUAAAAAGAGAAAAAGAUAAAAAGAGAAAAAGAUAAAAGAGAAAAAGACAAAAAAGAUAAAAAGAUAAAAGAAAUAAAAAUAUAAAAAAAUAAAAUGAUAAAAGAAUAAAAAGAUAAAAAACCUAAAAUCGGUUAAGAAUCACACAAAUAGAAUAGUUAUACCACGAGUCCCCCGCAAUGGUGCCAAAAAACUUGUUAAGACUUUGACAAGUGUACCGAAUCGUAUCAAGUAAUAAUAAGUGGUCAAACCAAGUACCAUUUUCC
rnacentral:lncRNA from 1 species